UAACAAGUGAAGCAACUCUACAAGAGUUUGGAAAAAUAUUUCUCGAUUUGCUUAUCUAAUGACUCUGCAACUUCUUAGUUCGAUGAGAGCAUUUGAGAUUCGUUGGAGAUAGAUGUCCGUAGCAUCAGCAUAUCACAAUAUGUUGACAACCCUGUGCCAUCGCUCCAGCUAAUAAUACUUGCCCGAACUUACUCAUUUCUUUUUCCCUACGAAUUAGUUAGGGGAAAACUAAAAGGCUUUGUGGAAUUAAAGCUCUUAAUCUCAACAUACUCAAGGAAAGGAAAAAAAGAGAAAUGUCUGGCUUAAAAAGGAUGCAAUCCGAACUCCAUAAAUUACUUUAGCAAAUUACAAAUCUGUG